CCUACGGGUGGCAGCAGUAGGGAAUAUUGCUCAAUGGGGGAAACCCUGAAGCAGCGACGCCGCGUGGGUGAUGAAGUUUUUCGGAUUGUAAACUCCUUUUGGUAGGGAAGAUAAUGACGGUAUCUAACGAAUAAGCACCGGCUAACUCCGUGCCAGCAGCCGCGGUAAUACGGAGGGUGCAAGCGUUACUCGGAAUCACUGGGCGUAAAGGGCGCGUAGGCGGGAUAGCAAGUCAGAUGGGAAAUCCUAGGGCUUAACCAUAGAACUGCAUUUGAAACUGUUAUUCUAGAGUAUGGGAGAGGUAGGUGGAAUUCUUGGUGUAGGGGUAAAAUCCAUAGAGAUCAAGAGGAAUACUCAUGGCGAAGGCGACCUGCUAGAACAUAACUGACGCUGAUGCGCGAAAGCGUGGGGAGCAAACAGGAUUAGAUACCCCUGUAGUC
rnacentral:rRNA from 1 species